CCACGGCAGACGAGGUAGUAACACGUAGCAACGUACCCCGAAGUCAGGGAUAUUCCAUCGAAAGAUGGCGCAAUACCUGAUAGUCCUCAAGAGGUAAAGAUUUAUCGCUUCGGGAGCGGCCUGCGUAAUAUCAGCUAGUUGGUGAGGUAAUGGCUCACCAAGGCUAUGACGUUUAGGGGAGCUGAGAGGCUGACCCCCACCGAUGGAACUGAGAUACGGUCCUUACUCCUACGGGAGGCCGCAGUCGAGAAUCUUCCGCAAUGGACGAAAGUCUGACGGAGCGACGCCGCGUGGUGGAUGAAGUCCUUCGGGACGUAAACAUCUUUUAUGAGGGAUGAAGUUUUGACAGUACCUCAUGAAUAAGGGGCUCCUAACUCUGUGCCAGCAGGAGCGGUAAUACAGAGGCCCCAAGCAUUAUCCGGAAUCACUGGGCGUAAAGGGUGCGUAGGUGGCGUUAUUAGUCCUUCUUUAAAUCUUCCGAGCUCAACUCGGAAGCUCGGGAGGAAACGGUAGCGCUAGAGGAUGUACGAGGUAUGUGGAACUCACGGUGUAGGGGUGAAAUCCGUUGAUAUCGUGGGGAACACCGAAUGCGAAGGCAGCAUACUGGGACAUUCCUGACACUGAGGCACGAAAGCGUGGGUAGCGAAAAGGAUUAGAUACCCUUGUAGUCCACGCCCUAAACCAUGUUCCCUAGCUAUGAGGAGUAUCGACCCUCUUCGUGGCGUAGCUAACGCGUUAAGGGAACCGCCUGGGUAGUACGAUCGC
rnacentral:rRNA from 1 species